rnacentral:rRNA from 1 species
UACAGAGGGGGCAAGCGUUGUUCGGAAUUACUGGGCGUAAAGGGCGCGUAGGCGGCCUGUUAAGUCGAACGUGAAAUCCCCCGGGCUCAACCCGGGAACUGCGUCCGAUACUGGCAGGCUUGAAUUCGGGAGAGGGAUGUGGAAUUCCAGGUGUAGCGGUGAAAUGCGUAGAUAUCUGGAGGAACACCGGUGGCGAAGGCGGCAUCCUGGACCGAGAUUGACGCUGAUGCGCGAAAGCCAGGGGAGGCAAACGGG